rnacentral:lncRNA from 1 species
AUUAAGCCUUUGAUGCUAAAUGUUCUCUUUGCAGUAAUUGCUACAUUUAUUGGGUAGCAUUUGAUGAUAAUAAUUUGACUCUAAUAAAGAAAUGAUUUGCUCUUAAACAUUUUGCAUUAGAUGAACAUAAUCGUCAUAUUAUACAAAUUAUUGUAAAUUUUUAACAAGAUUUUUUUCUAAUUAAUAAAAUAUUUAGCUUAUCUUGUACUCCAUGUUGUUGGGGAGAAAACGCGUGGGUCGAGUUUGGUUGACAAAUAAUGGAAUUGAGAAAACACAACUAAAAAUGGACACAAAUAUUUACGUAGUUCACCCAAUUUAAGCUACGUCCACGGACCAGUAUAGGAGGAUUCACUAUAGUAGGAGAAUUACAACAAUCUCUCUAAAUACAAGGAGAUAACAACAAAUAAUCUCUCUUGUAAUAGGAGAAAACAAGUAGAAAAAAAGAACUUAGGAGAAAAACAAUAAAUUUUCUCUCUCCUCUUCUCUUCACCUUACAAUUUUCUCUUUUAAUUUUUCCUCUCCC